rnacentral:rRNA from 1 species
CGUUUCUUUGCUGGCGACCGGCGCACGGGUGAGUAACACGUAUCCAACCUGCCCUUUACUCGGGGAUAGCCUUCGAAAGAAAGAUUAAUACCCGAUAGCAUAAUGAUUCCGCAUGGUUUCAUUAUUAAAGGAUUCCGGUAAAGGAUGGGGAUGCGUUCCAUUAGGUUGUUGGUGAGGUAACGGCUCACCAAGCCUUCGAUGGAUAGGGGUUCUGAGAGGAAGGUCCCCCACAUUGGAACUGAGACACGGUCCAA